rnacentral:rRNA from 1 species
AGCGGAGGAAAAGAAACUAACAAGGAUUCCCCCAGUAACGGCGAGUGAAGCGGGAAGAGCUCAAGCUUAAAAUCUCCAUACUUGUAUGGCGAAUUGUAGUCUAUUGAGGCUGUUGUCAGCAUCGCGAUCGGGGACAAGUCCCUUGGAAAAGGGCAGCAUGGAGGGUGAUACUCCCGUCUCUGCUCCGAUUUGCGGUGUGUACGAUACGCUUUCUUUGAGUCGAGUUGUUUGGGAAUACAGCUCAAAGUAGGUGGUAAAUUCCAUCUAAAGCUAAAUAUUGGUGCGAGACCGAUAGCGAACAAGUACCGUGAGGGAAAGAUGAAAAGAACUUUGAAAAGAGAGUUAAAGAGUACCUGAAACUGUUGAAAGGGAACCGUAUCGUUUCCAGUGUUUUAUCCUGUGCAUAUUUCAUUCGCGGAGCAAUUUGCGGGUGCCCUGUGCAUGGGUGUGACGUCAGAGUCAGUUUGUAUGCUGCGGGAGAUGGUCAGUGAGGAGGUGCGUCACUUCGGUGAAAGUUAUAUCUCGCUGUCUAGUAGCCGUGGUUGAGACUGAGGUGCCUACAACAUGCCUUGGGGUUUCGUGUUGUCUCGUGUUAAUAAUUGCUUUGAUAGCUUGCUAUGUCUGUGGUUUAUUGAUGCGAUUGAUGAUGCGGAUAACCUCUGCUGUUCGGGACUCUGG